GGAAGGGGUCAGGCUCCGCGCUUUGGCCUACCCCGCCUUUUCUCUCGAGAGCCUGCGGGAAUUUGCUCCUGCGUUUCACGUCGCGGUGGCACCUGGGCCCUAAGGAGGCCCGGCGCGUGCAGCAUCUCACCUUGAAGGUUUCUCUCUCAAAUCAUCGGGCUUCAGUUCCUUCCUCUUCUAAUGUUACAAUUUAGCCCACACAUAAACCUUUUUCUUUAGACGUGCCCUGACCUUGUGACAUGAGGAGAGGCAGCAUCGCUGUUGUUUUCCUAUUCAGCAGACGUUUUUCUUUGCAUCUCCUUCCCUCCCCUGGAGGCCAUUACUGUGACUGAGGUGUGGCGCAUCAUGAACUCCCAUCUAAAAUUGGAAUGCGGUUUUGAAGCUGCUUCUGAACAGUUUCGCGUUUCAAGAUAAGUUGCCCUGCCUGGAAGAUGUUUUGUACAAGAAGCCAUCAAAGUUACAAUGCGAAGCAAAGUGUGUGGCUCGGCUGCUGACUUGUCUUGGAGACACCGGUGCACAUAGGCUGUCACAGCAACAGGCUGGUAGGUGAAAAAAUCCACCCCAAAGAAGCUGAGGAGGGUGUUUGGUAGCAAUGCCAUAUUUUGUUAUGUGGAGUAUUGGAGUCAAAGCACAAAGCAAAGAAGAAAAAGCACAAGGUCCCUCAUCCUCCACUGCUUGACAAGCUGAGUAAACUUGAAACAUGAGACUCAACGGAGAGGUUGUGUAAAUGUUGAUGAAGACCUUUGUACCCAGCAUGGGGCUUGCAGCCGUAAGUUACUACAACCCUUCUAGGGCACUGGUGCUAUUCAAGGUCUGCCCACUGAUUUGUUUUAUUUUUUCUUCUUUUUUGCUUGUUAACAUUCACCAAGGGCUGGACUUUAAAUAUUUCAUGCAAUACCGAAGCCUGCGCAUGUUGGUCCAGUGUGUAUUUCUAGUGAAUUCGAGGGAUUGUACAGGUUCCCUGCUGAACCAACCACCCGUGGAGGUCAGCAGCGGGCGGUCUGUCACAGCAGCACAAAACCCAUGCUCGAUGUCCUCUCUCUCCCGUGCAUCCCGCUGUGGGCACGCUCUGAAGGAACGGGGCGGUAGGUGCCUGUGUGGGGCAGGAGCACCCGCAGGAGAAGGGUGCUCCUGGCAGUGCCUGUUGCCAGGAGGAUUUCAGACCGGGUUCCUAGCAGUUGCCAGCACUGUGCUAAAGGCACAGGGAAACUACUAGAAAGAGUCCAGCGAAGGGCAACAAAGAUGGUUCAAGGAUUGGAGCAUCUC